rnacentral:rRNA from 1 species
AUACGGAGGAUGCAAGCGUUAUCCGGAUUUAUUGGGUUUAAAGGGUGCGUAGGCGGAUGAUUAAGCGUGAGGUGAAAUGCCACUGCUCAACAGUGGAACUGCCUCGCGAACUGGUUGUCUUGAAUGCUCCUGCCGUGGGAGGAAUGUGUGGUGUAGCGGUGAAAUGCAUAGAGAUCACACAGAACACCGAUUGCGAAGGCAGCUCACGAAGGGGUGAUUGACGCUGAGGCACGAAAGCGUGGGGAUCAAACAGGAUUAGAUACCCUGGUAGUCCACGCAGUAAACGAUGAUAACUAACCGCUGGGUCGUAGUGAUUCAGUGGCCAAGCGAAAGCGAUAAGUUAUCCACCUGGGGAGUACGACCGCAAGGUUGAAACUCAAAUGAAUUGACGGGG